ensembl:lncRNA
GGUUAGGGGUUAUGGGUUAGGGUUUAUGGGGUUUAGGGUUUAUGGGGUUUAGGGUUUAUGGGUUAUGGGGUUAGGGGUUGGGUUAGGGUUUAUGGGGUUAAGGGUUAGGGUUAGGGGGUUAUGGGUUAGGGUUUAUGGGGUUUAGGGUUUAUGGGUUAUGGGGUUAGGGGUCGGGUUAGGGUUUAUGGGGUUUAGGGUUUAUGGGGUUUAGGGUUUAUGGCGUUAGGGGUUGGGGUUAAUGGGGUUAGGGUUUAGGGGUUAUGGGUGAUGGGUUAGGGGUUAGGGUUUAUGGGGUUUAGGGUUUAUGGGUUAUGGGGUUAGGGGUUGGGUUAGGGUUUAUGGGGUUUAGGGUUUAUGGUGUUUAGGGUUCAUGGGAUUUAGGGUUUAUGGCGUUAGGGGUUUAGGGUUAGGGUUGGGUUAGGGUUAAUGGGUUUAGGGUUUAGGGGUUAUGGGUCAUGGGUUAUGGGUUAAGGGGUAGGGUUAGACACAAUUCUGCGUGGGUUUUCUCCGGGUCCUCCGGUUUCCUCCCACUCACCAAACUUUGGUUUACAAUUGGCAAAAAACAUAAUUCGUCUGUGUGGUUUUUCUCCGGGUCCUCCGGUUUCAACCACACACCCCAUAAAAAAAGAAUAAAGAUUUGGAAAUAUACAU